UGUGACUGUCAUUAUGUCAGGGCUGGGGAGGAGACAGGGAUGUCAGGCAGACAGGCCUCAACUGAGAGCUGCCCUGCAUCGCUUCCUGUUCGUGCACUCCACCUCAAGAAUGCCCGGCCAGCUGGCCAGCCAACAUGCCCAGGUCCUUGAGCCGCAAAGGGUGUUCACUCCAGCCAGACUCGUUUGUUUCUUUGACCCUCCAGUAGCCGUGUGGUAGGCUGGCCAGGCUUAUCGUCGUUGCAUCCAUUCGGUGGACAGGGAAACUGGGGCAGGGAUGCACACGGGAUGGUGGCAGUGGCUUGUUGAGGUCACCCCGCUCAGGCACGGUGACGCUAAACCGCACACACGCUCAAGGAGCUGGUUCUCGGGCUGGUCCAUACUCCGGCCUCACCCCAGCAUCUGGCCCAGCACCCACAGACCAGCACACAGCCUCCACCAGGAGGUGCCAGCCACCCCCCCGCCACUCAGGCUCUAGCCCAAGAAGAAUGCAGCCUGACCCUCCCCGUGGGAGCUCUGGUCAGCAGGCCUUGGCAGGAGAGAGGCCGGCUGAGUCAACAAGAGGCUGGCAGGGGCUCAAGCUGCCCACCGAGGUGGAGUCAGGGUCCUGGAGGGGGCGGGCGGCCCACUCCCACCCCUCAUUCUCCGAGAGACCCUCCCUCCUGCUGUGCUCCGGCCCUGUUAACCCCUGCAGGCCUGGCAGGGGAAAUGGCCUGUUGAGAAUCAAUUGAUCAAUUACCCUGCAGAAAGGUGCUGUGGGACCUCAAGUAGGUCACUUCACCUCUCUGGGCCAAUUUCCUCACCUGUGAGAUCCUUUACUUACCCAUGAGGGUGGUGUCAGAGUCUUUAUGAAUUAAUAAAUUACUCUGCACAAGACCCUGCUGCUGGGAAGGAUUGAAGGCAGGAAGAGAAGGGGACAACAGAGGAUGAGAUGGUUGGAUGGCAUCACUGACACGAUGGACAUGAGUUUGAGCAAGCUCUAGGAGUUGGUGAUGGACAGGGAAGCCUGGCGUGCUGCAGUCCAUGGAGUCACAAAGAGUCAGACACGAUUGAGCGACUGAACUGAACUGAACUUUGCGUAUAGGGCUUCCCAGGUGGCACUAGUGGUAAAGAACCCGCCUGCCAAUGCAGGA
ensembl:lncRNA